CAGCGAUGAUUUCUGUUUCUGGCAGGUCAAACCAUCAGCUAUGGCAGUAGCUGAAUCAACCUUAGGGAAAGAAAACCCAUGUUGCUGGGACUAUGAAUAGCCUUCGUCUUUGCCACCAGGGCCACUCCAUGCAUCAGCCCACUGUGCAAGUAAUAUAAAUGUAUGUCUGUGUACACGUUGGGACUCACACAUCUAUUUCCUCGCCCCCCUCUGCGGGGGGUGGGGGGACAAUCACAUCCAGCAACAAUGAGCAGGCCUGGCACCCAAGUCUUGGUUUCUAAACAUUAUUCACCAAUACAAGAAGCUAGGGCUCAGGAAGAAGUGGCUGAGAGUAGGGCCAGAGUGAGGAGAACAGAGCAUGAGUUUGGAACAUCUCAUAGUGCAAGAAAGUAAGACAGUGCUCAAAAAGAUGCAGGCUUGUCCAAAGGACAGAGUCCAACCUAAAGGGGGUCCUAAUGGCCAAAGCUGGGAAAUUUGGGGGAAAAAAUCAAUAAUGACCAUAUUUGAUUUAACCCACAGAAUAAAACAAAUAUCCAUGAGUCCACACUGAUAUGAAUGGAUGAAGAAAGAAAAAUGGAGAGAGAGGGAGGGAGGACAGUUCUUCCUGCAGUAGAUUCCGAUUAAUAAAGGUAGAAACAAGGGAGAAAUAGAAGACCAUCCAACUGAAUAAAAACUGUUGCAGACAAGAUCUCCCAAUCUACAGUUAAAUUAGUGGUGAAAGUUUGAAGAGAAACAGGACCUGAGUAGUUUCAAAAUACCUUCCACGAGAUGUUAAGUGAAAAAGGAAGAUGGGGAGUUUCGGUCGUGGCACAGCGGAAAUGAAUCCAACUAGGAACCAUGAGGUUGCAGGUUCGAUCCCUGGCCUCUCUCGGUGGGUUAAGGAUCUGGCGAUGCCAUGACCUGUGGUGUAGGUCACAGACGCGGCUUGGAUCCCGUGCUGCUGUGGCUGUGGUGUAGGCCGGCAGCUACAGCUCCAAUUGGACCCCUAGCCUGGGAACCUACAUGUGCCACAGGUGUGGCCCUAAAAUGACAAAGAAGACAAAAAAAAAUUAAAAGAAAGAAAGAAAAAGGAAGAUGGUAGCUUUAGAGUGUAGAAACCUUGCAGAAACCACCUCAACCAAGUGAUGAAAGUCAACAUCAGUAAUAAGACAUUUGACAUUUGAACCUCUCAGUUUGGUGCGCAGGAAGGUUGUAACUAACUUAUAUUUGUAUCCUUGCCCCCAAAAUGCAUAACCUCACUCCAAACAUGAGAAAAUAACAAACAAACAAACCAAACUGGAGACAUUCCUCAAGCAAAUGAUCAUUACUUUCCACAAGUGUUAAGACCAUAAAAAAGUUUUGAAAACUGAAGAACUGUCAAGAGCUAAAGAUGACUAAAGAGAAACCACAAAUACAUGUGGGAUUCUGGAACAGAAAGAGGGCAUCAGUGGAAAACCGGUACAAUUUAAAUAAAGUCUAUAGUUUAUGUUCAUAGCAUUGUACCAAUGUUCCUUUCCUGGUUUUGUGCUCUGGUUUGAUGUGAGGUUACCAAUAAUGCGAACUGGGGGUGGGACAUAUGGGCACUCCUGUACUGAUGUUGUAAGAAAUUAGCUCAAAUUAGUUCGAAAUGAAAAAGUUACUCUUUUAGUCAAAUAUAUAUAUAUAUAUUUCACAUUUUAUAAACCAAGGAAAGACAAAGGAAGUGUAGGCCCAGAUAAUACAAAUUCUUUUUAGUGUUACCUAAGCCACAGCAAAAUGAAUAACUCAGGUAUAAAAAUAAAAAAUUAUGUUCAUUCCCCGAACCAAACAGCAACUGUACGUAGAGCCUCUGCAUGCUGUGUUCUUCCAUUAGCAUGGAUAAUUGGAAAUUGACUGCCUUUAGAAAUGAUGCCCAGUUUUUCUCUCUGGGUGCAACACAAGAUAAAUUCCCAGGGCAGUGGCCUAUGUUAUUGAAUCCAGCGGUAAUUAAGUUAAUGUAUCCUGUCUUGUGUGUAGAGGUGUAAUUCAGGUGGUACAAAUCCUUUAUUGAACUCAAAUUCAAUAGUCAUGUACAAUUCCCCUAUUUGUGCUGUGUACAAAGGUUGUAGAAAAAUUACAAAACACACUGCAUUAUAAUUAUAUUCUUAUGAAGGUUGGGUGUUGUCACUGACACAAGCCAUUCAUGGGGCACCCUUUCAUUUGCACAGAGGAAAAUGCUCAGUUGAAUAAACACAUAAUCAAUAGAGCAGAAGCCUAUGGCUUUUGCUGCCAGAUAAUCUUUUCUCUUUCUUCUCCUAAAUACAUCCUGAUUUUCCUUUGAGGAACCAUCUCCUCCCUUCUCUUAGCCUAUCUGAUUCAGGAUGGCAGGUGCCAUACCCUAGUACCAGACAUGGGCAUAGGACCCCAGCCUCACCAGCAAGGCUCCCCUCUAGGGCUUUGUUGGAACUGUUAGGAAAGAGAAAGACUCCUUUCUGGGAUGAUACUAAGAUGACAGGAGCUAGGCCCAGAGUCAGGGGUGCCCAUCUUGGUGUAUCUGGGAAGAGAUGCUCAAUGAGGCCAACGGAGGGGGGAGGGCAGAGCCAAGAGAAAUGGUGACCAACCAGGUACCUCUGUCAAUACGGUCCUUUUUUCUUUUUUUAUUUCUUUCUCUGUCUUUCUUCCUUCCUUCCUUUCUUAAGCCAGCUAUAGUUGGGUUUCUAAUACCCACUAAUAGAGUAAGUAAUUAAAAAUAAUGAUUUCCAGGCCCCCCAAAAUCUUUUAUUUGCAAUCUCAGCACCCAGAUCUGUCUCUCAUUUACCCACUCUAUUAUACCAUUAUAAAUAAUCCUUAUCUUUCUAAUUGUUUUAAUUAUCCUCUCUCUCACUUUCCUGGCUUCCCUCUCACCUCAUACCUCAACAACAUGACAAAUUUCCCCUCUCCCAAGAGCAAUCAAGGGUCCUGCCUGCCCCCUUCCCCCAGUGCCACACAUUUGAAACCUCUGUAACUCGGACUUUGAAUUUUACCUAAGCAGUCAAAUAGAUAGGACAAAGAAGGGGGCAGCGUUGGAUGGGGAAAGACAAGGACUUGCAUGGUCAUUCUAGGGUUAAACUUGGAGGUUGAUUCUAACAGGAGAGGCAGCCAGACCGCAAGUUGCCAGGCCUGUGUAUUCAGGGCAGCCAAAAACCAGCUGAGCAGCCUUGGGCAAGAUACCCAAAGGCACAGGCCAUGAAAGGAAGGGUUAUAUGACACGGGAGAGGGAGCUUUCUCCACCAACAUGGCUUUCAUCAAGUCACAUCGUCCUCCAGAAAAGGAAGUUGCAGGGAGGAAACCAAUCUUCCAGGGUACCAAGAAACUCAACAAACUUUCAUUACCUAAGACUGGGUCCCAGUGGUCUUAUUCAAGCUGAACACCUUCAAGCAUUUACCCACCUUCCCUUGUUAGACAGCCUCCUCCAGGGCAGAGACCAUCUGCCAGCAGAGAAGAACAACGCAGGUAGCAAACACAUUCUACGUACCUACUAUGAAUGAGACACUGCACUAGACCCGCUUCUAACUCUAUCUUCAAUAUUCUCAGUGUCCCUUUGAGGUGGGUCAUUUUAGUCUCCUUUGGU
rnacentral:lncRNA from 1 species